GACGAACGCUGGCGGCGUGCCUAAUACAUGCAAGUCGAGCGAAGUUUUUCUGGUGCUUGCCCUAGAAAAACUUAGCGGCGAACGGGUGAGUAACACGUAAAGAACCUGCCUCAUAGACUGGGACAACUAUUGGAAACGAUAGCUAAUACCGGAUAACAGUAUUUCUCGCAUGAGAGAUAUUUAAAAGUUGGUUAUGCUAACACUAUGAGAUGGCUUUGCGGUGCAUUAGCUAGUUGGUGGGGUAAAGGCCCACCAAGGCGACGAUGCAUAGCCGACCUGAGAGGGUGAUCGGCCACACUGGGACUGAGACACGGCCCAGACUCCUACGGGAGGCAGCAGUAGGGAAUCUUCCGCAAUGGGCGAGAGCCUGACGGAGCAACGCCGCGUGAGUGAAGAAGGAUUUCGGUUCGUAAAGCUCUGUUGUUAGGGAAGAAUGGAUAUGUAGUAACUAUACAUGUAAGAGACGGUACCUAAACAGAAAGCCACGGCUAACUACGUG
rnacentral:rRNA from 1 species